AGAGUUUGAUCCUGGCUCAGGAUGAACGCUGGCGGCGUGCCUAACACAUGCAAGUCGAGCGAUUCACUUCGGUGAAGAGCGGCGGACGGGUGAGUAACGCGUGGGUAACCUGCCUCAUACACAUGGAUAACAUACCGAAAGGUAUGCUAAUACAGGAUAAUAUAAGAGAUUCACAUGUAUUUCUUAUCAAAGCUCCGGCGGUAUGAGAUGGACCCGCGUCUGAUUAGCUAGUUGGUAAGGUAAUGGCUUACCAAGGCGACGAUCAGUAGCCGACCUGAGAGGGUGAUCGGCCACAUUGGAACUGAGACACGGUCCAAACUCCUACGGGAGGCAGCAGUGGGGAAUAUUGCACAAUGGGCGAAAGCCUGAUGCCAGCAACGCCGCGUGAGUGAUGAAGGCCUUCGGGUCGUAAAACUCUGUCCUCAAGGAAGAUAAUGACGGUACUUGAGGAGGAAGCCCCGGCUAACUACGUGCCAGCCGCUGC
rnacentral:rRNA from 1 species